rnacentral:misc_RNA from 1 species
CUUCAUUUUACUAAACUGCCUGCUCAUGGGCAGAUGUAGAAGCCCAUAUACGGGUUUUAAUGCUUUAGUUCACUUGAGCCUUGUUGAGAUGCUGGAACGUCCUGUUGGGGUUGGACAAAUCUUUAUCCCUUUUCCCAUCUGAUACUAGCUUACAUAAGAGCUUCGCUUGAAUAUUAAAAUAAUUAAUUAUCUUCCAAGUAUCAUUCGGCCACGGAACAAUGAAUUACUAGAUAUUUGUCUAGUUCCUUCCAGAAUUGAGUGCUUGAGGACCUUUGGUGUUAUAAACCUAGCCAUGGUGGUGGAAGACCCUUGUGGGAGUAUGUCAAAUUACAUUUGG